CCCCUUUUGUCCUGAAAAACAAUAUAUAAUUUGUAUGGGAACAGUAAAUGAGAGAGCGGAAAAUUCCAGCCAAACACAAACACCACAAAAGUGUAAAAAUAUGCCUGGUCGCAAAUGUACAACAUCGCAAAAACAGUCCAGUCCUUAAGGGGUUAAAUAAGAUAGUGUAUCUUAUGUAGGAAAAUUAAAAUUCGGCUAAUGUAAAAUCUGGUAGAUUUAUUCUUAUUGGAUGGUUCCAGGAAUGGUUAAUGAUCUGAUAUGAACAUUACUUUAACAGUAAAAAUUACAACAUAAUUGGAUAUAUAUUGCCUAUGAGGAUUGUAGCCAGUGUGAUUUAACUAACACAAAUCAGUAAUAGGAGCAAACCCAGUGAACCACGCAUGGACAGCCAUUUCAUUGUUAAUGCAACUCAUCAGAAUGAGGUUGGUUACUGGCUUGCUAUGCCAUGCCUCCACAGCAAGCCAGUAACCAACCUCAUGCUGAUGAGUUGCAUUAGCCAAGCCUCCAUAGCCUCCAUUAACAAUGAAACAGUUGUCCAUGAGUGGUUCAUUGGCUUUGCUCCUCUUCCGGAGUUGUGUUUCAAAGCCGUUGUAUACAGCAGACACAUACUCCAAGGAAUCCAUGUAUAAAGUGCAAUGAUGAAGCAAAAAUGUGGUUCUUUGUUGAGCUAAUUUGCAUACGCCUACCCAGAAUCCCUAACAGUAGUGAGAGCACUGUUAAGGGUGAGAUUUCUGUGGGAAAAGCAGGUCUUAUGGCUUGACUGGUGUGUGUAUUUGUGUUUAGCAAUGUAUUAACUAUCCACUUACGUCAGUGUGUGUGUGUGUGUAUAUAUAUAUAU